rnacentral:rRNA from 1 species
GACGAACGCUGGCGGCGUGCCUAAUACAUGCAAGUCGAGCGAGCUUGCCUAGAUGAAUUUGGUGCUUGCACCAGAUGAAACUAGAUACAAGCGAGCGGCGGACGGGUGAGUAACACGUGGGUAACCUGCCCAAGAGACUGGGAUAACACCUGGAAACAGAUGCUAAUACCGGAUAACAACACUAGACGCAUGUCUAGAGUUUAAAAGAUGGUUCUGCUAUCACUCUUGGAUGGACCUGCGGUGCAUUAGCUAGUUGGUAAGGUAACGGCUUACCAAGGCAAUGAUGCAUAGCCGAGUUGAGAGACUGAUCGGCCACAUUGGGACUGAGACACGGCCCAAACUCCUACGGGAGGCAGCAGUAGGGAAUCUUCCACAAUGGACGCAAGUCUGAUGGAGCAACGCCGCGUGAGUGAAGAAGGGUUUCGGCUCGUAAAGCUCUGUUGGUAGUGAAGAAAGAUAGAGGUAGUAACUGGCCUUUAUUUGACGGUAAUUACUUAGAAAG